UGACUCUUAUAGAUAGUUAAUUUUGUGAAUGGCUGAAUAACACGUCGAGAUCGCGAUAGACAAAGAGUACAAAACGCCAUAUCCGUAUAAUUACAUAGCAAAGAGACCAUACCAACAAAAUGGGCAUACGCGCGACGGCAAGCGGAUAGCGAUUGUCGGCCAGAACACCCUAAACUCUUCACGAGCAAAGGAAAAGGCGAAACGAGCUAAUCAUGCCACAUUAUUAUCAGCACUGUCACACCUCCAUGAUCACGGUCAUCAUGGUCUCGGCUGAAGUAGCCCUUAUUUAGUUAAAACGACGAACGAUAUAUAGAAAGACGGUGAGCGUGGAGACUAUCAAAGCAGAGUAUAUGAACAGCAGCACUCGGUAGCCGCUUACUAACGUAACAAUAACCAAACGAACGUGUGACAUUGAACGUACGCACGAGCCAUCACGAACGCCCUAAUGCGCAGCUCCGUUUAGUUCGUAUCUAGCGGCCUCAAAAUAGAUCGAGAACUGUCAUUUGUCCAGGUUUGUUGGAGGGACCCCCACAUGGAUCAAGUAUGACUCACCCCGGCUAGAGUUUCCGAUGGGCGUCGGUCCUCGACGCAGUGAUAUUUUCAAAUGAAGAUAAGCAAUAUUGAACUUGGACCUCGGCGCAUCGUUAAUUAAUGUUGAAAAACCGCAUUUCUUCAUGAAGACACUUGAGAACAAUCAUGGGUAUGUACAACGUGUAAGUGUGCUAACGAAGAACUAUGUAGCACUAGCGUAAUGGCUCCUCAACAAAUCGGCAGUAGUUUUAUAGAGGAAACUGAACAAGCGAGCAUCGUAUCCGGUAGCUGCCGGCGACGACGGCACCACCAUCUACGAAACUGAAGAAAAUUGAAACAACCAGAAACACUAUACAGUUGUUGCGUAUACGGGCAGCUCACGCCUGUCGUUCAAGACGGAUUAUAAUUUAACCUGUACAAUCUAUAGAAGACCUUACAGGCGUCACAUAUUCUUGUAUAAUCAUCUAGACAGCAUUUAUAAGCUAUUGUCAAAGUGACAGCCGUUCCGUUGGCAAAUUGAACAGAAAUAGCCAUUGUUGCGCUACGAAUGGUCGAAAGAUCGAAAAAAAAUAAAAAAAGUACUCGAUAGACUAUAAUUAAACUGUUUUGAGUUAUUACCUUCUUUGAAAUAUAUUUUUUUGUUUUCUUGUGCAUCGUAAUGGGGCUGCGUACGGGAUAUGACGUGCGAUGAUAGCUGAACCAAUAGCAAACAUCACGAAUAUUCUAUGUCGUUUGUUGGAAAAAAUCGAUUUCUUAAGUUAUUCCGCCCUUUUUCUUUUGACCCCGACUUCCGAGGUUUAACCGCGAGCCAGGCUAAUAAUCGAUACGGCACGCAACAAACAUUGUGAUCAAAAGGGAUCAACUGCCCACUGACGAGCUAUAAAUGCCGUCCAAGUCAGGUCCGACAGGCCUAUUACAGAUUAGGUUCUAACGAACCCUCAGCCCACUUGUGGUUAGUGGCCAGAUGCUGUCCUGCGUGCCUGGUCGCUACAGAUGCACAUGGAUCGACAAAUCAUUAAGCUCUGCAACUUCGAGGCGCGAUACUACUUUUGCAAUCGGCGGCGGCACAUUUAGUGCGCAUUCUAACGACGACACACUCUGCAGAGAUCGCUUGGGCAGCGCACACUGUAAGUGUCCAUUGAGUAGCGACACAGUCCAGAAAACGUAGACGACGCCUGGGAAAAGCCCAUCAGGGUUCCCAUCGCUACGGAAAAUACAGCAGAUUCGGCGGUACUGAUAACUGCAGCCAUUUCAACAUUUAAAAUGAAUCGAAACACAUUAUGCCAAUUACAUACAAACACAGAAUUUUUCUGAUGUGCUUGCAGAAUAUUCAAAAUAGACCUCAGGCAACUUAUUCCCUCUCCGCGAAAAUUCACACGUAUACUGCUACGACUCCGGAAUAAACCAAACAUUGGGCAUCCAUUCCUAGACAUAAUCCACCUGUUGAAUGCAACCAGGACAAUAACUUCGAAAACGGUAAAUUCGACUACGUGUCUUCACUUGUGGCACAGGUUUUGGUACUUCUGCCAGGUCAUCCAAAUGAUCGAAGCCUUGAAUCCCUCACCAGUUCAAAUCCAAAUUACUAUCUUACCUGCAAUCACACUAUCUGUAAUGUAUCAGGAGUGGACAUUACUAUUAUUGUUAUUAUUGGUAAAAUCAACUCCACAAAAUUUCCAGUUGCCAAUAACCAUUACCAAUGAACGCUGCCACAGUACAUCAAUUGCCACUUCUGACACUUUGCCCAUUAUUCUAAGGCCAUAAAACCAUGACUAAUGAACUAUGACCAAUACUUAG
rnacentral:lncRNA from 1 species